GACGAACGCUGGCGGCGUGCCUAAUACAUGCAAGUAGAACGCACAGUUUAUACCGUAGCUUGCUACACCAUAGACUGUGAGUUGCGAACGGUUGAGUAACUCGUAUGUAACCUGCCUUGUAGCUGGGGAUAACUAUUUGAUACGAUAGCUAAUACCGCAUCAUAUUAAUUAUUUCAUGAUAAUUAAUUGAAAGGUGCAAUUGCACCACUACCUGAUGUACCUGCGUUGUAUUAGCUAGUAGGUGAGGUAACGGCUCACCUAGGCGACGAUACAUAGCCGAACGGAGAGGGUGAUUGGCCAGACUGGGAGGGAGACACGGCCCAGACGGCUACGGGAGGCAGCAGUAGGGAAACGUGGGCAAUGGGUGAAAGACAGAGCAAGCAACGCGGCGUGAGUGAAGAAGGUUGUCGGAUCGGAAAGCUCGGUUGUAAGGGAAGAACGGGUGUGAGAGUGGAAAGUACACAAUGUGACGGUACCUUAACAGAAAGGGACGGCUAACUACGUG
rnacentral:rRNA from 1 species